rnacentral:misc_RNA from 1 species
GGACCAUCUGUUACAUUCUUAAAUGCUUUUAUGUAAGAACUCAGUAUUAUAUCCCUUUAAUAUAAUAAUAAAAAAUAUAAAAAUUUUGGAAACUGACUUUUGUAUUAAGUUAUUUCUAUGACCAUUUUUUACUUUAAAUUAUUCCAUAUGCAAUAUUAUAAUGAUAUUUUUGUUUAAUUUUUCAUUUGAUGAAGAUGCAAGUCAUUUUGCUAAUUUUGGAAAACAAUUCAUGAUAUCGAUUCUGUCCUAUUCAAUCUGUUCUAGUCUGAUGCUGAAACUGUUUGAGAUUAUAUUAUCUAAAACCAUAGUUGCAUGGCUAACUGCUAAUGGAGAUGUGAAGAUUAGUUGUGGGUCUCUAGUUAUGGUGGUGGUUUGGUGAUGUUUUGAUGACUUUCUAAUGGGGUGGUGAAAUUUCUAGCGUAUCACUGAUGUAUAUGAUGGUUGAUGUUUUCUCAGACAUUUCUCUCCCAUAUAUCCAGCUUCUCCACAUUUAGCAAAUUACAUCCUAGCCUUAGCAAAGUCUAUCAUAAGAGAAAGUUUAAAAACCAUCAAAAUUGUUAUAGGACAGUGUUGUCACCAGGCGCUCGGGCACUUGCCUAGGUGCCCGGGCGAGGAGAAAUCUAGGCACCUCCCUUGGGAAGCCUCCAGGCAAGGCGACUUCA